UACGGGGGGAGCAAGCGUUGUUCGGAUUUACUGGGCGUAAAGGGCGCGUAGGCGGUCGAGCACAAGUCAGUUGUGAAAUCUCCGGGCUUAACUCGGAAAGGUCAAGUGAUACUGUCGGACUAGAGUACAGAAGGGGCAACUGGAAUUCUCGGUGUAGCGGAUGAAAUGCGUAGAUAUCAAGAGGAACACCUGAGGUGAAGACGGGUUGCUGGGCUGACACUGACGCUGAGGCGCGAAAGCCAGGGGAGCAAACGGG
rnacentral:rRNA from 1 species